CUGAAUGUUGUCUUGUCUGUGUGUACACUAAUCAUGCUCCAGGGUAGUGGGAUUUAAUGAGGGUGGCACCAGAAAGUAGUAGUGGGAAUCUUUUUUUGAACUCUUUGUGACAAUAUAAGCCAGCUGAUGCAUUGUUCUUGAUAUUUUUCUGCUUAGCUCCUCAGUGUGGAUGGCACAAAAAUGAAGGCAACACUGUCAAGCCCUUUUGACUACAGUUAAAAUUCCUAUUUGCUAUCAGAAGAGAUUAUGUUAAACUAGCCGUACUUGGGCUGGAGGUACCUUAAAGACAUACUGCAAUGACAAAAAGCAUUACCAACGUGAGGAUGCAAUUGCCUUUCAUGGGAGCUUAGCUUCCAGGAAGGGAGCAAGUCUGCGGGGUGCUCUUGGUGUGUGGUCGCAGGGGACUUUCAGCUGAGCCUCCUUCAGGCUGCCAUGCUGGGAAGCUCAAAGCCUAACCACUACAAUCACCCUACAGCAUCUGCUGGCCCCCAGAGCAUCAUCUCUGCAGCACCACAGAGACGUUUCCAAGAAUGGAAUUUUUCAAAAAGAGUACACACAAGAGAGCAAGAAGGAAGGAGAAUGCUCUAAAUAUGUCUUUAGCCAGAAGAAAAAAGAGAGACAAUAAAGUAAGUAUAUCUUAAAAAAAACUUGUAUUA
rnacentral:lncRNA from 1 species